rnacentral:rRNA from 1 species
GAUGAACGCUGGCGGCGUGCCUAAUACAUGCAAGUCGAGCGAACAGACGAGGAGCUUGCUCCUCUGACGUUAGCGGCGGACGGGUGAGUAACACGUGGAUAACCUACCUAUAAGACUGGGAUAACUUCGGGAAACCGGAGCUAAUACCGGAUAAUAUAUUGAACCGCAUGGUUCAAUAGUGAAAGACGGUUUUGCUGUCACUUAUAGAUGGAUCCGCGCCGCAUUAGCUAGUUGGUAAGGUAACGGCUUACCAAGGCGACGAUGCGUAGCCGACCUGAGAGGGUGAUAGGCCACACGGGAGCGGGAACACGGUCCAGACUCCUACGGGAGGCAGCAGUAGGGAAUCGUCCGCAAUGGGCGAAAGCCUGACGGAGCAACGCCGCGUGAGUGAUGAAGGUCUUCGGAUCGUAAAACUCUGUUAUUAGGGAAGAACAAAUGUGUAAGUAACUAUGCACGUCUUGACGGUACCUAAUCAGAAAGCCACGGCUAACUACGUG